rnacentral:rRNA from 1 species
GACGAACGCUGGCGGCGUGCUUAACACAUGCAAGUCGAACGGAAAGGCCCUGCUUUUGUGGGGUGCUCGAGUGGCGAACGGGUGAGUAACACGUGAGUAACCUGCCCUUGACUUUGGGAUAACUUCAGGAAACUGGGGCUAAUACCGGAUAGGAGCUCCUGCUGCAUGGUGGGGGUUGGAAAGUUUCGGCGGUUGGGGAUGGACUCGCGGCUUAUCAGCUUGUUGGUGGGGUAGUGGCUUACCAAGGCUUUGACGGGUAGCCGGCCUGAGAGGGUGACCGGGCACAUUGGGACUGAGAUGCGGCCCAGACUCCUUCGGGGGGCAGGAGUGGGGAAUAAUGCAAAAUGGGCGGAAGCCUGAUGCAGCAACGCCGCGUGCGGGAUGACGGCCUUCGGGUUGUAAACCGCUUUCGCCUGUGACGAAGCGUGAGUGACGGUAAUGGGUAAAGAAGCACCGGCUAACUACGUG